CCUACGGGGGGCUGCAGUGAGGAAUAUUGGUCAAUGGCCGGAAGGCUGAACCAGCCAUGCCGCGUGAAGGUCAGUGCCCUAUGGGCGUUAAACUUCUUUUGUGCGGGAGCAAUAAUGGUCACGUGUGGCCAGACGAGAGUACCGUACGAAUAAGCAUCGGCUAACUCCGUGCCAGCAGCCGCGGUAAUACGGGGGAUGCAAGCGUUAUCCGGAUUUAUUGGGUUUAAAGGGUGCGUAGGCUGGGAGGUAAGUCAGCGGUGAAAUGCCCCCGCUCAACGGGGUGAAGUGCCAUUGAUACUGCCUGGCUGGAAUGCGGAUGCCGUGGGAGGAAUGUGUGGUGUAGCGGUGAAAUGCAUAAAUAUCACACAGAACACCGAUUGCGAAGGCAUCUCACGAAUCCGCGAUUGACGCUGAUGCACGAAAGCGUGGGUAUCAAACAGGAUUAGAUACCCGGGUAGUC
rnacentral:rRNA from 1 species